GGAGAGUACAGCUCAGUGGUAGAGUGUGUGCUUAGCAUGCACGAGGUCCUAGGUUCAAUCCCCAGUACCUCCA
rnacentral:tRNA from 1 species